CGUGUUGCCGAGGCUAAAGCGCGGUCACUAGCUGCAGGACAGUCAACGACCGCCCAUGAUUCAGGGCAGAUUCGCAUUGAUACAUAUAGGGUACCAAAAAGUUAUAUAAGUGUUCGUUUCUGAAAACGAACAUAAAUUCACUCUGACGGGAAUUAAGCAAUGCAGGGGUUAAACCCAGAGAAUGAUACUUCAGGAUAUGUAUGAAGGGAUACGCAAGCCUGGCCACACUCUCGACGGUUUUGACGAAAAAAAAUGUGGCCUAGGGCAGGAAGCAGAAAGAAGUUGUGCGGACAGUGAAGCGAAUCCUAACGACGAAACCGAUUCUGGCUAUUUUCGAUAGCACGAAGCGAACUGAAAUGGAUAUGAACGGCAGUUCCUUGGGAUUAGGGGCGAUAUUGUUCCAGUACUCGAUCUACGGGACGCGUCAGGGUCGUUAAGGAUUGCAACGCACUGAGAACAACGUUUACGAAGGAUUUGAUUCCCAGGAUUAGGCGGUGGUGGCUAAAGAUAUCACCGAAGCUGAUUGGAUUUUGAUGCCACAGAUGGAGGCCGAGCAGUUGGAACAGGUGCGGAAAAUCUUAAUGGAUAACGUUCGUAACAGCGAGACGAAGCAGUAUUUUAC